rnacentral:rRNA from 1 species
GGAUGAACGUUGGCGGUGUGCCUAAUACAUGCAAGUCGAACGGAGACUGUAGCAAUACUGUCUUAGUGGCGAACGGGUGAGUAACGCGUUGGUGAUCUGCCUCGAAGUGUGGAAUAACCUCCCGAAAGGGAAGCUAAUACCGCAUAGUCUCUCAAGGUUUAGAAAAUUGAGAGUAAAGGAUUUAUUCGCUUCGAGAGGAGCCUGCGUCCCAUCAGCUAGUUGGUAGGGUAACGGCCUACCAAGGCAAUGACGGGUAGGGGACCUGAGAGGGUGGCCCCCCACAAUGGAACUGAAACACGGUCCAUACACCUACGGGUGGCAGCAGUAGGGAAUAUUAGAAAUGGGCGGAAGCCUGAUCUAGCAACACCGCGUGUGCGAUGAAGGCCUUCGGGUCGUAAAGCACUUUUUGGAGGGAUGAGGAAGGACAGUACCUCCAGAAUAAGCCUCGGCUAACUACGUGCCAGCAGCCGCGGUAACACGUAGGAGGCAAGCGUUAUUCGGAUUUACUGGGCGUAAAGCGCGUGCAGGCGGUUUGGAAAGUUGGAUGUGAAAGCUCCUGGCUCAACUGGGAGAGGUCGUUCAAAACUUCCAGACUUGAGAGUGGUAGAGGGAGGUGGAAUUCCGGGUGUAGUGGUGNNNUGCGUAGAUAUCCGGAGGAACACCAGUGGCGAAAGCGGCCUCCUGGACCACUUCUGACGCUNNNACGCGAAAGCUAGGGUAGCAAACGGGAUUAGAUANNNNNGUAGUCCACGCUGUAAACGAUGAGUGCUAGGUGUUGGGUAGCGAUAUUCAGUGCCGGAGUAAACACAAUAAGCACUCCGCCUGGGGAGUACGUACGCAAGUAUGAAACUCAAAGGAAUUGACGGGGACCCGCACAAGCAGCGGAGCAUGUGGUUUAAUUCGAAGCAACGCGAAGAACCUUACCAAGGCUUGACAUCCCCUUGACCAGUGCAGAGAUGUACUCUCUUCUUCGGAAGCAAGGGAGACAGGUGGUGCAUGGUUGUCGUCAGCUCGUGUCGUGAGAUGUUGGGUUAAGUCCCGCAACGAGCGCAACCCUUAUCCUUAGUUGCCAGCAUAUAAGGUGGGCACUCUAAGGAGACUGCCGGUGAUAAACCGGAGGAAGGUGGGGAUGACGUCAAAUCAUCAUGCCCCUUAUGUCUUGGGCUACACACGUGCUACAAUGGUCGGUACAACGGGGAGCGAAGGAGUGAUCCGGAGCAAAUCCCAAUAAACCGAUCCCAGUUCGGAUUGCAGGCUGCAACUCGCCUGCAUGAAGUCGGAGUUGCUAGUAAUCGCGAAUCAGCACGUCGCGGUGAAUGCGUUCCCGGGUCU